CGAUUCACCUCGGGUUGGCCAUUUUCGACCGUUUUUGCCCGAAUUCGACCACGCUUGCAUCGAUCCCUGCGAUAGAACAAUCCUAGGGCCCUCAGUGGGCUGAAAAAUUACGAAAAAUCGAAACUUACCGGCGGCGGUGCUCUCGGGUGCGGCGGCUCCUCUGGCGUGAGUCGCGUUUUGAUGUUUGGCUCCGAUCAACCUGUAGAGAAAAGAACGGUGAUCACAGUGGUAUAAAAUUUGCAUCAAACAGAGGCCGGGAAGGGCCUCAUCGGAGG
rnacentral:lncRNA from 1 species